rnacentral:misc_RNA from 1 species
GGGAAACACCACCAUUUCUAUUUCCUUUCAGCAAAUUUUCAAAUUUCCAUCACCGUUAUCCUCUCAAUCAGUCUGAAGAUGCUUGCAUUCAAGCCUGAAGACCAGUUACAGCUAGUUGAAAGAGAAGAGAUCGACGAUGAAGAAGACUUGUUUGAAGCUAUUGAUAAACUGAUCACUCAUGGAAUCAAUGCUGGGGACGUGAAGAAGCUGCAAGACGCUGGUAUCUACACCUGCAAUGGCUUGAUGAUGCACACAAAGAAGAACUUGACUGGG